GAGGUUAGAAUUCCCGGUGUAGCGGUGAAAUGCGUAGAGAUCGGGAGGAUACCAGUGCGAGACGCCUUCUGGACUGACACUGACACUGAGGUGCGAAAGCGUGGGUAGCAAACAGGAUUAGAUACCCUGGUAGACCACGCCGUAAACGAUGUCGACCAGCCGUUGGGUGCCUAGAGCACUUUGUGGCGAAGUUAACGCGAUAAGUCGACCGCCUGGGGAGUACGGCCGCAAGGUUAAAACUCAAAUGAAUUGACGGGGGCCCGCACAAGCGGUGGAGCAUGUGGUUUAAUUCGAUGCAACGCGAAGAACCUUACCUACCCUUGACAUCUACAGAAGCCGGAAGAGAUUCUGGUGUGCCUUCGGGAACUGUAAGACAGGUGCUGCAUGGCUGUCGUCAGCUCGUGUUGUGAAAUGUUGGGUUAAGUCCCGUAACGAGCGCAACCCUUGUCCUUAUUUGCCAGCGAGUAAUGUCGGGAACUCUAAGGAGACUGCCGGUGACAAACCGGAGGAAGGUGGGGACGACGUCAAGUCAUCAUGGCCCUUACGGGUAGGGCUACACACGUGCUACAAUGGCCGGUACAAAGGGCUGCGAGCUCGCGAGAGUCAGCGAAUCCCUUAAAGCCGGUCUCAGUCCGGAUCGGAGUCUGCAACUCGACUCCGUGAAGUCGGAAUCGCUAGUAAUCGUGAAUCAGAAUGUCACGGUGAAUACGUUCCCGGGCCUUGUACACACCGCCCGUCACACCAUGGGAGUGGACUGCACCAGAAGUGGUUAGCCUAACGCAAGAGGGCGAUCACCACGGUGUGGUUCAUGACUGGGGUGAAGUCGUAACAAGGUAACC
rnacentral:rRNA from 1 species